AUAAAUAAGAAGGAUAAGGGCG
rnacentral:tRNA from 1 species